AAACCCUUGAAAACCUUUUGUGCCACAGCUAAGGCAGCCUCGUCUCGACUGAUACAUCUAAGUAUGAUUUCAGGAACCUCCACAAUUAGUCCCUGGAUUUCUGCUUCUCUAGCGUCACUAUUAACCAAAGCCUCCAACUUUUGUGCGACAAUCUGAUAUUUAUCCAAUGCAUCACUUGUAUUUAAUGAAGGUUCUGAAAUGCCACUCCCAAGUUUCUCAGAAGCAGCUGAUGAAGAUAUUUGUUGUGAAGUCAAUUCCUUCACAGCAUCAGAGGAAUCCCCUGGCUGAAGUUCAGGGGCUGGAGCAGUUGAAGGAAAUGAAGCAAUGACAGAAU
rnacentral:misc_RNA from 1 species